rnacentral:rRNA from 1 species
UACGUAGGGGGCAAGCGUUGUCCGGAUUUAUUGGGCGUAAAGAGCGUGUAGGCGGCCAUUCAGGUCAGCUGUGAAAACUCGAGGCUCAACCUCGAGACGUCGGUUGAAACCGUUUGGCUAGAGUCCGGAAGAGGAGAGUGGAAUUCCCGGUGUAGCGGUGAAAUGCGCAGAUAUCAGGAGGAACACCGGUGGCGAAGGCGGGUCUCUGGGCCGAUAUUGACGCUGAGGAGCGAAAGCGUGGGGAGCGAACAGG